CUACGGGCUGCUCCAGUGGGGAAUAUUGCACAAUGGGGGAAACCCUGAUGCAGCAACGCCGCGUGGAGGAUGACACAUUUCGGUGCGUAAACUCCUUUUAUAGGUCAAGAUAAUGACGGUAGCCUAUGAAUAAGCGCCGGCUAACUCCGUGCCAGCAGCCGCGGUAAUACGGAGGGCGCAAGCGUUACUCGGAAUCACUGGGCGUAAAGAGCAUGUAGGCGGGUUAAUAAGUCAGAAGUGAAAUCCAAUAGCUCAACUAUUGAACUGCUUUUGAAACUGUUAACCUAGAGUGUGGGAGAGGUAGAUGGAAUUUCUGGUGUAGGGGUAAAAUCCGUAGAGAUCAGAAGGAAUACCGAUUGCGAAGGCGAUCUACUGGAACAUUACUGACGCUGAGAUGCGAAAGCGUGGGGAGCAAACAGGAUUAGAUACCCUAGUACUC
rnacentral:rRNA from 1 species